rnacentral:rRNA from 1 species
ACGUAGGUGGCAAGCGUUGUCCGGAAUUAUUGGGCGUAAAGCGCGCGCAGGCGGUUAUGUAAGUCUGAUGUUAAAGCCCGGGGCUCAACCUCGGUUCGCAUUGGAAACUGCGUAACUUGAGUGCAGAAGAGGAAAGCGGUAUUCCACGUGUAGCGGUGAAAUGCGUAGAGAUGUGGAGGAACACCAGUGGCGAAGGCGGCUUUCUGGUCUGUAACUGACGCUGAGGCGCGAAAGCGUGGGGAGCAAACAGGA